UGCUGCUGGAGGAGGCAAGGCGGGAGCGUGGUCUGGCAGGUGCCUGGGAGGCUGGGACAUCCCUGCUCUGCCCUGCCGCCUCCCAAGCGCGAUCCCCGGCACCGGAAAGUCGCGGUGGCAGCGGGAGGACAAAGUACGGCCGGGGCGAUCGGCGGGGAAAAUGAGCAGGGCAACGUUUUGUUUUGCCUCGGGUUUCACAGAACCGAAAGCAGGUCCUCCUCCCCUGGAGGCGAACGGGUAUAUGACUCAAACAUGUCCUUGCUCUCCUACCUGCAUCCCCCUGGUUCUCUUAAUGAAAGGAUUCAGCAGCAGACAGUGUCGCGAGGCAUUUUCAUAUAACCCCUGCUGAAGACUUAGAAAGAUCCUCUGUACUGCAAAAUAUCAUUUGCAUUGUGGGGGUACAGUUGUGGUGAAAAGGAGAAUCUGGUGCCAUCUGUGUUUCACAGAAGUCCCACGGUGCUAACCUUGCACUGGGUACAGCAGGGAUGGACCAGAGGAGAAUGAAUAAUCCCCACACCUCUGCUCUCUAGGUUUUUCCGAAUACAAGAUGAAACCUUUCCACACCACAGACUAGGACAGCAGUUACCAGGGGACCACCUCCGGAACCCAUAACCUGUGCAUAGGCUGCUGGGGGGAUCAAAUUCCUUCACAGCAGCCUCCAGGGAGGGCUCAGAAAAGGCUGAUUUCCUUAGCUGGUUCUUGCAAAAGCUGCACCAUUCUGCACACUUUUUGAUGGCAAUAUAGGGUGCCAGAAAACCCUGUGCCACAGUCAUACAGCCGAUUUUCCCUUACUCCAGUGCAUUCUGUGAUUUUCCAUAUCCAAGCUGAUUUGAAAUGUGAGUAGGUUUUUAGCAGAAAACCAGACAGAGAUAGGAUAUACACAGCUAAUUGAUGACAUAUCUCCACUGAACAGCCUCGUUUAAACUCCUAACGAUGUAGUCCGUGCUGCCACCUACGUCUUCUGAUUCAGGUUUCUUGUGUACUGCAACUUGGAUUCGUAGGCAUCCUUUGCAGGAGGCAGCUCACAUUUUGUGAGGCUCCACGAGGGACCACAAACAGGCGGCUCUGGCUGCACUAAGGAGUGAAGCAAAAGGUUUCUCACCGGCUCAGCCACUUGUUUGGUUGCAGGGAGGAUGCCUAGAUGCAGAUUAGGAGCCAGCAGUCACAUCAGUGAAAUGAGAAACCUUGUUUUCAUUGUUUGGCUGCUAGAGGGAACAUGAUGUUUCAUGGAGUCAGGACCAAGACUGGGCAUGGACAAAGAGGAGAUUUUGCAGGGAUUGGGAAGAUUUUACAAAUAAACAUUAAAAUUUAAAAAACCAAAACUUCAUCCAGACAUGAAGUCCAGCAGAAAUGUAGGAGAGAAAUGGACAGCACUGUCUGUAAAGGAUUGUGUAAGCAAGAAUGGCAAAAACAUGGUCUGAAUAAAUCCAUUGCAGUAAU